rnacentral:rRNA from 1 species
CUCAGUAAUGUUGCGAUGAUCUGCUCUAGUUGUGUAAGAUAACCGCGGAAACCUGUGGCUAAGAGACUAGAAUGAGACGCAACCCUAUCAGUUUGUUGGUAGUGUAACGGACUACCAAGACUAUGACGGGUGACGGGAAAUCAGUGUUUGAUUCCGGAGAGGGAGCCUGAGAGAUGGCUCCCACGUCCAAGGAUGGCAGCAGGCGCGAAAAUUGUCCACUCUUUGUUGAGGAGACAGUUAUGAGGCGUGAUUGUAAGAGCGAAGAGUAAACAUCUUUGUGUAAUGCAACUAGAGGGCAAGUUUUGGUGCCAGCAGCCGCGGUAACUCCAACUCUAGAAGUGCCUAUUGUGGAUGCUGCAGUUAAAAAGUCCGUAGUCGUUGAUGCAAUUAAAAGGUGUAGAUCAAGUGCACCAAGUUUGUUAGUUGUGGCGGAGCGGACAGGGAGCAUGGUAUAGGUUGGCGAAGAAUGAAAUCUCAAGACCCAACCUGGACCAACUGAGGCGAAAGCGGUGCUCUUGUACGCGUCUGUGGAUCAAGGACGAAGGCUAGAGGAUCGAAAGUGAUUAGACACCGCUGUAGUUCUAGCAGUAAACUAUGCCGACAUUCUCUGUUGUUGAGACGGGGAGGGGAGAAAUCUUAGUUUUCGGGCUCUGGGGAUAGUACGCUUGCAAGAGUGAAACUUAAAGCGAAAUUGACGGAAGAUCACCACAAGGAGUGGAUUGUACUGCUUAAUUUGACUCAACACGGGAAAACUUACCAGGGCCAAGUCUCUCGUAGAUUGGCGACAUGAGAGGGGCAAGAGUGGUGCAUGGCCGUUGGAAAUUGAUGGGAUGACCUUUAGCUUAAGUGCUGUAACCAGUGAGAUCUUCUAGACAGGUGUCUUACUGACACAGGAAGGAGAAGGCUAUAACAGGUCCGUGAUGCCCUCAGAUGCCCUGGGCCGCAAGUGCAAUACAAUAUCCGUUUGAGCGACAUAAAUAUGCUUACGGAUGAGUAGGAUUAGCUCUUGUAAAUGAGCUAUGAAUGAGGAAUUCCUAGUAACUGUGUCUCAUCAAGGCACAGUGAAUGCGUCCCUGUUCUU